GGGGAUGUAGCUCAGUUGGUAGAGUGCUUGCCUGGCAUGCAUGAGGCCCUGGGUUCGAUCCCCAGCACUGCACA